UGGAAAUGUCCAUAUACAAAUCCCAGAAACCUUGUCCUAUGAUAUACCAAUCAUGCCGUUGUAACCUUAACGGUUUGGAGGGUAACUGUGAGCCCCAGGAUAAUCCUCACACAAAUCUAAUGUGCAUAAAUCCAAGGAUGCUUCUCACCUCAUUGUGCUCCAGGCAGCUGAUCAUGAGUUCGGUCAGGAUGACAACACCUGUGCGGCCAACUCCAGCGCUACAGUGGACCACCACUGGGGGGUUAAGGCUUUUUGAGGUGUCUAGCAUGCUGUUGGUGUGUCUCCUAACUGACUGGAUCUCCUCGAGUAACCAUUGCGAUGACGUUGACCCCCUGCUCCCAGACCAUCUGCCAGAAGUCAGCACAGGUGUUGGCCAGUGGUCCAUGAGUGGCAAUAUAGUGCCAUUCCUUUCCCCUGAUCUUAACCUGCACAGGUCACAUUCCUGACAUAGCUGCGGACCCAGUAGCAAUAACCACAAUGAUGCCACACGUUCCAUAGCCCACUUGGCGCUCUGCUAGAUCCCGCUAGAUUAGCAAGGCCUGGAACAAAGACUGCUUUUCACACCUCCCAGCUCAAUUGUCUAUUCCGUGCACGUCUUACCCGUUCAUCAGGGGCAACCGUAACCCCAUCAUUGUGCAAGUUCUCUGGAACAGGCAUCCUGGCCACGUAGAGCCCGUUGAGGGCCGCCAUCAUCAGAG